GACGAACGCUGGCGGCGUGCCUAACACAUGCCAGUCGAGCGCUGAAGGCUUGUACUUGUGCCAACUGGAUGAGCAGCGAACGGGUGAGUAACGCGUGGGGAAUCUGCCUUUGUUCGGGGGACAAUAAUGGGAAACGAAUGCUAAUACCGCAUAAAAACUUUAAACACAGGUUGGAAGGGUGAAAGAUGCAAUUGCAGCACGCAAAGACGAUCCCGCGUUGUUUUAGCUAGGUGGUGAGGUAAAGGCCCACCAAGGGGUUGAUACAUAGCCGCCAUGAGAGGGUGGUCGACCCGAUUGGGAACGAGGCCCGGCCCAAACUGCCACGGGAGGCAGCCGUAGGGCAUCUUCGGCCAAGGAGGGAAGUCUGACCGAGCACCGCCGGGUGAGUGAAGAAGGUUUUCGGAUCGUAAAACUCCGUUGGUAGGGAAGAAAAUUGGUGAGGGUGGAAACCUCAUGAAGUGACGGUAACUACCCAGAAAGGGACGGCUAACUUCGUG
rnacentral:rRNA from 1 species